rnacentral:rRNA from 1 species
UACGGGGGGAGCAAGCGUUGUUCGGAUUUACCGGGCGUAAAGGGCGCGUAGGCGGCCACCGCAAGUCGAUUGUGAAAUCUCCGGGCUUAACCCGGAAAGGUCAACCGAUACUGCGGGGCUAGAGUGCAGAAGGGGCAACUGGAAUUCUCGGUGUAGCGGUGAAAUGCGUAGAUAUCGAGAGGAACACCUGCGGCGAAGGCGGGUUGCUGGGCUGACACUGACGCUGAUGCGCGAAAGCCAGGGGAGCGAACGGG